AGGGAAACUGCGUACGGCUCAUUACACCAGCCUUAAUUUACUUGACCUUGACAACCUACUUGGAUAACUGUGGUUAUUCUAGAGCUAAUACAUGCACCAAAGCUCCGAUCCUCGCGGAGAGGAGCGCAUUUGUUCGCCACAAAACCAAGCGCCCAUCUGGGCGUCCAGUGCUGAACCAGAACAACUCAGCUGAUCGCACGGUCUUGUACCGGCGACGUGUCUUUCAAGUGUCUGCCUUAUCAACUUUCGAUGGUAGUGUACCUGACUACCAUGGUUGUGACGGGUAACGGAGGAUAAGGGUUCGACUCCGGAGAAGGGGCCUGAGAAAUGGCCACUACGUCUAAGGAUGGCAGCAGGCGCGCAAAUUACCCACUCUCAACGCGAGGAGGUAGUGACGAGAAAUAACGAGACCGUUCUCAUACGAGGCCGGUUAUUGGAAUGGGUACAAUUUAAA
rnacentral:rRNA from 1 species